rnacentral:misc_RNA from 1 species
AAGUCGUAACAAGGUCUCCGUAGGGUGAGUCGAUUCGAAAUCUCCAUCAAACGUGAAUAUCUGCUAACGAACGUUUUAGUGAAUCUGCGGAGGGAUCAUUACCGAGUGAGGGUCUUUUGGCCCGACCUCCAACCCCAUGUGAUUACCACUCUGUUGCCUCGGGGGCGACCCGGUCUCCCACGGAGGCGUCGGGGCCCCGGUGGACCGCAUUUCAAACACUGCGUCCAUGCGUCGGUUUGAUAUAUUCAAUAUAAAAUCAAA